UGGGGGAACACCUGUCGCUUUAAGCACGAGUGCUCAGGCUGCGGGGGCGCACACAGGCUUAACCGAUGCUUCAAAAAAGGGAAGUCAGAAAAUACCGGAGUCGCUGCUACAGUUUAGGGGGGGGUAUCCUCUGCCCCGGGGCUUAACCCCGGUGAGGCUAGACGCGAUGGAGCCAUGGCUAAGCCGCUACGGUAACAGGGCGGACGCCGAGUUGCUCCGGGCAGGCUUUGG